ACGCUGACACCUACGGGGGCAGCAGUGGGGAAUAUUGCACAAUGGGGGAAACCCGUGAUGCAGCGAUGCCGCGUGAAGGAAGAAGUAUCUCGGUAUGUAAACUUCUAUCAGCAGGGAAGAAAAUGACGGUACCUGACUAAGAAGCCCCGGCUAACUACGUGCCAGCAGCGCGGUAAUCUGAGCGGGCUGGCAAGGC
rnacentral:rRNA from 1 species